rnacentral:rRNA from 1 species
UACGAAGGGGGCUAGCGUUGCUCGGAAUUACUGGGCGUAAAGCGCACGUAGGCGGCUCUUUAAGUCGGGGGUGAAAUCCUGGAGCUCAACUCCAGAACUGCCUUCGAUACUGGAGAGCUUGGGUUCGGGAGAGGUGAGUGGAACUGCGAGUGUAGAGGUGAAAUUCGUAGAUAUUCGCAAGAACACCAGUGGCGAAGGCGGCUCACUGGCCCGAUACUGACGCUGAGGCGCGAAAGCCAGGGGAGCAAACGGG